GCGCGUCUCUACACAGGAGUGUAAACAAGAACCAAAGUAACCCUGGAUUUAAUUCUCAGACCUCAGGUCAAUAUGCAGGAAGGGGAUCCCCUCCCCCGGACAAAAAAAAUAUUCUCCCUGUGAUUAGUCUAAAGAACAUGCAGCCUGCUAAGAAAGAAUUCCCUGAGGAAGGCGGGAGUGGAAAUAAUAACCACUAGGACAGUGUUCUAUUUUCUGGCCUCUGGGAGAAAAUGUUUGUUUAUUUUAUUUUGAGGGGCCCAAGACAGUCUGAACUUUAGUGAAUGCUAUAAUUUGCUAGAGGAGGAGGCAAAGAUCCAGCCACAAGCAAUUGAUGGGAAACUAGGCCUCAAAGCAGAAAAUGAAAAGUCGAUGGGGGGAAGAUUUUUAAAUAAAUGGGUCAGAGGGACGGAGCGGAGAUGAGGCGAUCAAUCUUAGCCCCCUGACAGCUCCCUCCGAUUGCAUCAAAGAAUUCGGCUCUUUGGGAAAGCAGAAGGAACAGCCGAAAUUCCGCAUCCCUUAAAAAGGCCUGAGGGAGGGGGUGGCAAAAGAGAAAGGUGAUUCUGGGAGAGCCGGGAAACAGAUGGGAAAUGGGGACAGAGGGAAGGCGCUGAGUUGGGUGGAAAGUUUGCCCGGAGAACUCCCACGGCUCGGGCCUCCCCUCCCCCUCCCCGCUCCCUGUCGCCCAGCCGGGAGAAGGCUGCUUAGCAGGGAAAUGGCAUCUCAGCCUGGAGCUGGAGCUAGAAACUUUCUGUCAAUGUAACAUCCGCGUGGGUGGCGACCCAAUGGUGGUUGGGCUUCAGGUCACGUGACGACUUCUUUGUGGCUCCGGAAGCAGACUGUGAAGUUUCGCUUAGAAGAAAUAGGGCAAAUCUGGCAUUCAGGAGCCUGGCCUAGCCCUACCUUCUCAAUUGGACCACCAGGACAAGAUAAAAUUG